UUCCUCUGUGCGUCUUUCUGGGCCGCGGAGUUGUCCGCUCGGAAACCUGAGAGAGUCGUAGUUCAGGGAGGGGUAGCUCUUGCACCUAGGGCCGUUAGGAACGAGUUUUAGGUGCGAAUCCCAUCUUACGGAAGGUGGUAUUGGUCCUUUGGGUGUCCCACCCGUCUCAGCCAAACUGCGGGCCAUUUCCUGGGGCAGGCAAGGGGAGUUACUCCACCAGUGGGUGGACUCGCGGCCUCUCGGAGGAGGGAGGAAGUGGAACUGGGGUGCAGGGACGAGUUUCAGUUAAUAAUGAAUAGGCUGGCCAAUGGUGGGCCAGGCACAGUGGCUCACGCCUGUAAUCCCAGCACUUUGGGAGGCCGAGGCGGGCGGAUCACGAGGUUAGGAGAUAAGAGACCAGCCUGGCUAACAGGAUGAAACCUCGUCUUUACUAAAAAUAAAAAAAUUAGCUGGGCAUGGUGGCGCGCGCCUGUAGUCCCGCCUACUCGGGAGGCUGUGGCAGGAGAAUCGCUUGAACACAGGAGGCAGAGGUUGCAGUGAGCCGAGAUCGCGCCAGUGCACUCCAGCAUGGCGACCCAGCGAGACUCCGUCUCAAAAAAAAAAAAAAAAAAGGAAAAGGUGGCCAAUAUGGUGAAACCCUCUCUCUACUAAAAAUACAAAAAUUAGCUGGGCGUGAUGGCGCGCGCCUGUAGUCCCAGCUACUCGGGAGGCUGAGGCAGAAGAAUCGCUUCAAGCAGGGAGGCAAAGGUUGCAGUGACCCGAGGUGGCGCUACUGCACUCCAGCCUGGGCAACAGAGCGAGAUUCCGUCUCAAAAAAAAAAGAAAAAAAAAGAAUGAAAAGGGGACUCACUUCGGAGAAGCUGCCCUCUCUGCAAACUUAUUUGAAUCUGGGAGUGAGUAGGACUACUACUAGACUCUCAUUUGACCUCUCCUUUGGGAAUCGCAGGGUAUACAGUGCCCACUGAUUAGUGGGAAUUUUGUCAAGAGAUGUGGUCUUGCUAUGUUGCCCAGGCUGAGUGCAGUGACUAUUCACAGGCCGGAUCUAGUGCACUGCAGUCUUGAACUCCCAGCUUACAGUCCUGCUGGUUUCUGAGAGGCAGGGGAAGAAAUGGCCACCAUGCUCUGCAGCUAGGUCUCAGCAUGAGGACCAAGAACCCUGGUGUUCCUCCACUCAUCAGAGCCAUAUCAUUUUGGUGCAUUGGCCGGGAAAGGAAAUUCAAUCAUGAAACUGGUGAGUAUGGAGCGGAUUUCAACUUUAAAUCUGUUCUUUAGUCUCAAGGCUCUCUUCCAGCUACCCUGUCGCCAAACUUUCUUUCUCUUUCUAUCUGUGGUCUCUCUCUCUGUGUGUCUAAUGUGCAGGAUUCUGUCUGUUAGAAAAGAUCGUGAAUCACGGCAGGCAGUAACUCAGUAAGUGUCUCUCUCUCUACAUUUUCUCUGGCAAGCACAUGGUAUUUCUAAGCCACCUAGUAGAAAUCAGGCUCUAGGCCUCUUCUAAGAAUGGGAAGUUUCUGCUUUUAACAGUUAGGAGUAGGAUGUCUUCCGUGGCCAAAUUUUAGUCUCAAUAUUGUCCCACUGGCAGGAAAAUGGCCAUUCAGUCCCUAUGUUCCUUUAAGCCAUCUAUUCUGGCUCCUACUAAGACAGCACUUAAUUAGUAAGGGGAUUUUAAGUCCAGAAGUUAACUGGAACCAUUCUUCUAUGGGUAAAUGCUUUAGCAUGGGCUAUAAUAGCAGGAUAUAGAGUUCAAUCUAUCACACCCCCUCCCUUAAAGGGUCUCUUCCCAAUUACAUGGUUUUUCUUGAAAUCCAUUUUUUGGGAGGCACACAGGCCACACAAGUCUAGGAGGUCAAAGGAAAAUAAAAGGCAGAGAACUGAUUGCUUGGGAACAGCGUGACUAAGGCCCAAAACUCAGAUCCUCUGGUGCCAUGGCUUGGAGGGUCACACUUGCAGUCAUGGGUGGAACAUUUAAAUGAGUGCUGGGAAUCCAGGAACGAAGGAGAGAAAAUAGUUGGGGGAUGCCUCCUACUGCUUUCUUCUCCAUCCUGGAUUUCAUACCAAAAGGAAGGAGACUAAAAGGACGCUUUUAUUCUCACUUCUCUUUCUAGAUGGGUAACAGACCGUCUUCAACAUGCACUCCUCUUGGGUGUAUUUUGAAGCACUGAGACUCUUUCGACCUUGAAACUUUGAAGAAAAAGUGGCUUAUUUUCUUUUGCAGUCAUAUCAGGCAGGCCCAGGGAAAAUAGUUCCCCAAAAUUAAAAAAGUAACUUUCAGGGAAGUCAUCUGAGGGUCCCCCUUAUUUGGGGCCCCUUCAAGUUCCCUUCUCAUUGCAGGACCUUUGGCAAGUAAAGGGAAACUUAGGCCGGUUUUCCGAUGACCUUAAUAAGUAUAUAGAAGCUUUCCAAAAUUUAACUCAGGUAUUUAACCUCUCAUGAAGGGAUGUUAGGUUGCUGCUAAGUCAAACCCUUACUGUAGGUAAAAUAAGCAGCUCUGCAAGCAGAAGAAAAUUUUGGAGAUAAGCAAUGUCUCCUAUAGAAGGCCAAAAGGGAAAAAAAAAGAUAGGGAAGGCAAAGGGGAAACACCAUUCCCAAUAGGAAAAGAGGCAAUACCUCCUGACAACCCUAACUGGAACUCCUUUCUGUGGUGUUUUUCCUUGUUUUGCAGUUUAAAAUGGCUUCUCUCUCUUUUAUAAUGUUCUUCCAACAUGGAAAAGGUUAAUUUUCCAAACCUUAAAAUGUUUGGCAUAGAGUUGAGCUAGGGGGAAGGAAACCCAGCCCAGAAGCCUGAUAUGCUGGCAAAAGGGUAAAAAUUUCUUACCAGUCAGGCUUUUGGCUUCUCUCUUCCUGUGGAAACUGGCGAAAGGGAUAAUAAAGAUCAUUGUUUAUGUUUUCUUUAAAUUUAUAGUUAAUGAAAAAGGAUUUGUGAGGUUGGUCUUAAGCUGUAAACAAUCUGCUCUUUGUAUGUCUUUCUGUAUGGUUCUGUUAAAGAAAAGGUAUCUUAGGUCAGGAUACAGGCCCAGAACCCCAUAAGCCUGCUGUUCAAACCAGCCCAGCAAAGUGUCCAGUGGCAAACUUGGCUACAGGCCUCCAUCUUGUUUCAUGUCAUGGGAACAUAAUCUGCAACCGCGUGGCAAUACUUUGUUUUUGUCUCUGCCAUUUUACAAUGGUGGCUGUCUUCUUGUGCUAAAUCAGAUAAGCCAGUUUGUCAAUCUGGGCUGUGUCAGCUGAUCCAUCAAGGGCAGGGUUUACAAAACAUCUUAAGCACUGAUCAUAAUAGCUGUUUAGGGAGGGUCAAAAUCUUGUAGCCUCCAGCUGCAUGGCUUUUGGGCCAUGGUAUCUAAUCCUGUGGCUAGUUUCUUGGUCUGGUCCCCAGGAAAGAGGAAAGUAUAUCUUGAGAAGCAGCUGCUAUCUUCUUUGUUUUAGACUAUAAACUGUAAACCAAGCUCCUCCCAAAGUUGGUUCAGCCUAUGCCCGGGGAUGGGCAAGGACAGUUUGGGGGCUGGAAACAAAAUGGAGUUGUUUGGGUCAGAUCUCUUCCACUGUCUCAGUCACAAUUUUGCAGUGACAGUUUCAAAAGCUGCCUGUCCGGGUGGAUCACGAGGUCAGGAGUUCAAGACCAGCCUAGUCAACAUGAUGAAACCCUAUCUCUACUAAAAAAACAAAAAUUAGCCAGGCGUGGUGGCAUGCACCUGUAGUCCUAGCUACUCAGGAAGCUGAGGCAGAAGAAUUGCUUGAACCCAGGAGGCAGAGGUUGCAGUGAGCCGAGAUCAUGCCACUGCACUCCAGCCUGGGUGACAGAGCGAGACUCUGUCUCAAAAAAAAAAAAAAAGAAAAAAGCUGUCUGUUGCUCCUUUAAAAAUACAUUUUACACUCCUGGUUAAGUCAUAACCUAAUGAAAUGUCUUUAGUUUUACCUGUGAGGUUACUUGUUGUAAAGUUCAAAAGCCAAAAAUCUUAACUGCUUGGCGUGGCUAAAGUCAAGUAACAAAGGAUUUAAAAGAAUUUUCUUAAAGAGUGCUCAGCUUAAUUAAAAGUGGAAAAUCAAGUUAUAGGUAUAUUAAAAGGCCUUUAUGUUUUUUCUUUUCUUGAAUCUUGUUUUUCUGGAAAAAGGCUCAUCUCAGUCAACUGAAUUAUUUUUCUCCGUUUUUUGUCUUACUACUCUUAAUGCAUGCAUAAAAGUCCCUAAGAUAACUUCUGGUAGCAUGGGACUCCUCAGGAAACACAGAGGAGGCGCCACAGACCCCGUCCCCAAAAAACCCUCUGUUUUCCUCAUGAAACCCCAGGAAUUAAAAGCAAAUAGUUCCCUCUCAAAAUCAAAGGCUCUGUUCUGUUUUGCAUUGUGUUAUCUGAUGGUUUUGAGUUUUGGGGGUAUCAGAAAUUACUUCACAUUUUUUACAAGAAAGCUUUGAUGUGUAAUAAUUAAGUAGAAAAUGCACUGUAAGGGAUGGCUAAUAGUAGUUAUAAAUCAGGGCCGCUCUUGGCCACCUGGAAGAUAAGGAAACAUCCUCGCCCUGCACUGGGAGAUGAGACUCCCAUCAGGGAUGGGCUAAUUACAAAAUAAGCCAAUUGGCUUUGGGCUGCCUUGCAAUGCAAUGCAUGGUAGAAGCACUACACCAUCUUCUCCCAUAGUAUCUAUAUAGUCUUUUCAUAAAUUAAGCAUUACAAUAAAAGCAUAGCAAGGAGGUCUUAAGACACUAAUCUGCCUCUUAGUAAAAGGGUUAUAAAAGGUUUGUAAAGAUUUCACCUUGGCCGGGUGCGGUGGCUCACACCUGUAACCCCAGCACUUUGGGAGGCUGAGGCAGGCAGAUCACCUGAGGUCGGGAGUUCGAGACCAGGCUGACAAAUAUGGAGAAGCCCCGUUUCUACUACAAAUACAGAAUUAGCCAGGGGUGGUGGCACAUGCCUGUAAUCCCAGCUACUUGGGAGGCUGAGGCAGGAGAAUCGCUUGAACCUGGGAGGCGGAGGUUGCGGUGACCUGAGAUCAUGCCCUUGCACUCUAGCCUGUGCAACAAGAGUGAAACUCUGUCUCAAAAAAAAAAAAAAAAAAGAUUUCACCUCAUGGUCAAAUUGGUUAGGAUUUGAUGGAAUGAUCUAUAAGGUUUCAUGUAAACGAAUUGGGGUUAACAUUAAUAAACUAAUGCAAGGGUAAAAUUUUGCUUUGAACAAGAUUUUCAUUUCAUAAUAAAGGCUAAUGAAAGGAUUUUGCCUUUUGAGUCAUCAUUUUGGCAAAAUAAUUUAUGGCAAUCUGGAAAUUGUCCUUCCUGAUACCUAGCUUUUUGAAUGGUUCAGAGGGCCCCUGAAACGUUCAGAAAAGAGGUAAACAGGAUUAUUUGACAUGUUUAGUCACAUGAGAUUGCCAAAAUGAUGUCCAAUCUUAUUUAAGUUAUAGUUUGGUGAAUAAUACUAAUAUAUGUUUCAGAAUUGUAUGGGAUUUCUAAGAUUCUAAUGUCUAAGUAUAUGCUAUCAAUCAUAAUUAAGGGUAAAGUUAUUGUAAACCACGAAGAUAAACUUGUCAGUCAUGUUUUUAACUAUCCUGAAAAUUUUGUCAUUCGCAGACAAUUGUCCUGCUUUGUUCCUUUUCAAAAAAUGGUUUAUAAUCAAGCUCUAUUAAGGAGUUUAACAGGUGUUCUCAAAUGCAGGUUUUUAAUAGCUUUAAAGAUUGUAACAUUGGAAUAGAGAAACAAUGUAUGGGACUCAUAAAGAACUAACAUGUUCAUAAGUAUCAAGCAAAACAAGAGUUAAGUAAAUGGACUGCACUCAGAAAGUUAAAGCAGACUUUUUAACUUUGCUUGGAAUAUUGCUGAUCCUUGUUUUGUUUUUCAGAGUCAAGAAAAGUUUUAAACUAUGGCCUUUAAUAAUUGAGUAAGGUAUACUCCUGUGAACAAAAUUUGGAGCAUAUUUAUUUGUCUCUGCCUGGUUCCUCUAGAAUUUGGAGACUAGCUGUACUCUUAACUUAUGGCAGUAUAGGUCUUUGCAUCAGUGCAAUAAGAAUCCGUUUUUCUUUGUCAACAGGACACAUUGGAAAAACUGGUUAUUUUAACCAAGGCUUGAGGGUGUGUUUCCUUUUAAGGAAUCAAGCUUGACAUGCAGAGCCAAUAAAAGCCCCUUGGGGAGAACUGGCCUCAUACCUUGUCUGCACAGUCCCCGCACAAGAUUCCUAACCUGUGGUCAGUAAAGAGGGUCACUUUCUAACAGGUCUGGGAGCUCUGAGUUUAUCUUGGGACUUCAAGAGGAGAGGAUCACCCAACUCACAGGUAUUUGAGGAUACAAACCCAUGUCUGGGCUUGGCUUUAAAAGGUCUUAUCUGAGAUUCCUUGUAGAACAGUUUCAUCGAAGCCAAUCCAAAAGGCCUGUGUAGAAAUAACCUUUCUUCCUGAACUUUAUGCAAACAAUCAGGCCAUGUAUAGGACUAAAGUUUAUUCUAUGGACAACAUACACGGGCCUGUCAUAAUUUGUUUUUAUCAAAAAUGAGGACUGGAGAGAAAAACUGUGCUCCAAAGCUUAUCAUACAUUUCUCCAAAACUUAUCAUACAUUUCUCAUUAAAUCCUAGUCUCAAUUGUUUUUAAGCUUUUUGCCUACAUAUUAUACUAACCCUGCUUAUUCCUGUGAAUCAAGUGGCAAUCCCCUACAGUUUGGAAGAAAUAAAAAGGGAUGGGUAAUGUAAAAAUCUGAAUCAAUAUGCUAGUUCUGGGCAAUUAUCCUGCAAAUUCUGCCAGGUAAUGAAAGUGAGUAUGAUGCCCAUUAACUCAGAGGGUUUUUUUUUGUUUGGGAAAAUAAAACCAAGGCUUCAUAGACCACCAAAGGAAAAUUAUGUAUCUUGGCAAGUAAAAUUUUACAUGGAAAUUAUCUACUACAUCACACUUGUGGAAGUUGCUAUACUCUGUUAUUUGCAGGAGGGUUAUACAUGAUAGCACCUUCUAACUGAAAUAUUGGACAGAGUUUCCAUUGCUGUUGUAUUUUGCUUAAUUAUUAUCCUUAUAGCACGGAUAAUAGUUACUGACAAAAAGGAAGCAUGAAAGUUUUGCUAUCACUGAGUCUGCUAGCACUUUUUAUUGGGUUUAGUAAUGAUUAACACCUCUAGUUGAGGAAAAUCUACAGGUACUUAAGAAUUAAAUCAAAAUUAUUAACAGGCUCAGGGAAAAUGCCGGCUUCAGCCCUGGGUGGCUACAGUCCCUCUUUAAUGAAUUCCAAUCUUCUUUAUGGAAUUGGUUAGCCCCUUUAUCAAGCCCUCUCUUGCUUAUAUGUCUUGUAUUGACAUUUGGACCCUGUAUACUCAGUACUACAACUCGAACUGUUUCUUCUCGCCUUGAAGCAGUCAAACUCCAAAUGGUGCUGCAAACUGAACCACAUAUGGACACGCCAUUCUCCCGAGGACCCUUAAGUUCACCCCAGGAGGAGCCCUCGCUGCUGUUCCCCAUUUGACGCCCCUUUUCAGCAGGAAGUAGCCAGAAAGAGUCGUCACCCAAAACCCCCUAACAGCAGUUAGUGUGAUAUCACCACAGGGAGGAAUGUGGUGGGAGUUAUUAAGAAAUUAUUUUAGGCAGAGAGGCAAAGAGGUCCUUGGGAAGUUUUAGUUUUUUAAAGCAUCUCCAGAAAAGUUUCUUGUAAAGCCCCGACUGUUAUAGUCAAGCCAUCAACCUUUGAUAUGCAAAUGAAGGCCAUUAGAAACUGGGUCCACCCAACAUGUCAAUUCCCACAGUCUUCUUGCCCUUGCCCCACAUGUUCCUGGCAACAUGGCCACCCCCACCUAUCCCCACGUGUGUAGAAAAUCAUGGCUCCCCAUAUUUGCAUAUUAAAAGGCUAGGGUAUUUAGCUGGGAGGGCCAGCUCUUUCUCUGGCUAUUUGAAGACAUGCCUAUUUAAUCCAAUCCCCUGAGCCCUAUGCAAAUCAAACACUGCCUUCUCCAGCCUCUGUGUAUAUACCUAGCUGGUAUCCGUGGCAGGUGGGGACCUUCUCUUUCAGCUUUGGAGCCCCCUCUCCUUCUGUCUCUGUACAGGUGAGCUGCUUCUUUCUUCCUUCUCCCUUCCUUCUAGCCCCUUCUUGCCUAUUAAACUCUUUGCUCCUUAAAACAAAAAACAAAACAAACAACAAAAAAACUCUAUGGGAAAGAAGACAAAAACAGAUUUUAAAAACUUUCAGUGCUCUAAUCUCAUAAAAAUACAUAAUUCUAUAAAAUUGUAGGUACAUAUUCUUUGUACUCAGAAUUUCCAUUUAACAUUAUUUUACAAGAAGAACUCAACUAAGUGCUGGAGCUAUGCGGUUCCAAUCCUUAUUCUGUCAUUAUAUGACAUAUGACCUCAAGCAAGACAUUUCAGCAUCAUGGACUUCACUUUCCCCAUUCAUACACAGUGCAGGGCUCGAUGCUGUUUACACACUUACACAUUUGUACAUAUCACUGUAGUGCACAUGCUUGCCAUUUUUAAUGGUUAUAGUGUUCUAAGGGGCUAAUAAUUAUGAAAGAUAGAGCCAUGGGGAGAACCGAAACAGAGGAGUAAGAAUACAUUUACAGGCACAUGCAAGUGAACUGACACCAGAAAACAAAGAAUGAAACAUAACAGCCUUAAAGUUUUAGAGACCAAAUAAAGGUUUAGUAAGAAAAACUAGUACUUAGAUUUGCAUGAAACAGAUCCUUAGGAUUAAUAUUUAGAUCUUACCAGAAAUCUGCCUUAAGAGAUGUGAUGGGAAAGGAGGGCUAUUAGCUUAUAAAUACUAUAAGUUAUCAAGACAUAUAAUAGUUAAAACACAACGUAUUAGGUAUACAUCUAGUUGCUUUCUUAAUUGCCCUCUACUUAACCCACUUGGCAGAUUAACUGACAAGUUCUAUUCCCUUGUAAAUUUCCUGAUGGCCUUGUCACAGGCCUUUUGCAGCUAAUUUGCUGCUUUUUAGCAUACAUAACAUGGAAGUGUUCUCUCCAAUUUAGGUGCAUGCUUAACAAGAUUUAGUUGUUUGCACCCGAAAGUUUAUCCCAGUUAUGUAAUUAUAUCCCUCAUUACACAGAUAUUACAUAACUGAUGGCAUGAGUGAAGAGUUGUCUUUAUGAAAACCAACUUGAAUGGUUGGAAAGAAUUGCCAGUGACACUCCAGGAGCAGUGAGAAUCCCUAGUGCCCACAUCUUGGUUUCUAAAUAGCUACCUAUUAAAAGGAGCCAGGGAUUCUUGGAAAAAGAUUUCAUUCCAUGCCUGGGGCAUUGAAAAUGCAAGGUCAACUUGAGAUAUCUUGUGUUAGAAGGCAAUCAAGUGUGCAAAGACUAGAGAGUGAAUGUCAAAAGGACAUAAGAGAUACUUGAAGGGCUCCACCUGGCCAAAUUUGGGACAAUCUGAACAUCAGAAACAAUGAUCAUAAAUGACUGUUAACACAUUGAAUCAUUUGUUAUCACUGCAGAUGAAAGCAUCAAACUCUUUACUGGUAAUUAAACUCCUACACUGGUAAUUAAGGGAAAAUAAUUGCUGACUGUGCCUCUAGUGCAUUCCUGGUUGAUGAGGGAAGGUUAUACAAGAAUGCCACUCAACAAAUGUAGAGUGAUAGAAUUAGAAAAUUGUCAUUUUGCAAACAUUGAUGAGACAAUGGAUUCAGGCAACGAUCACCGUUGGUUACUUUUUACCAGGUAAAAAGUUGUUGGCAAUCAAAAUAUCCAUGUGCUGCCAGUGUCAGUCCACAGACUAAUUGCAAUAGGAAAAACUACCUUUAUAUUGAGAAGAUCUGGUGACCUCAAAUGAGUGAUCCAUUGAUAGUCAACCUGAUAUUAAUGAGACUUUUGAUAUGAUGCACUAUGAAAUACAUCUGUGAGGUGUUAUCAUUAAAAAUGUUUAAACAACCCAAUCAAGCCUUUUGUCCUAACUUCUAAUUUAUGGAAACUACAGAGGGUACCGGAACAACCCACAUGUAAAUAAUCAGUUGAAUCCUGAAUGUGAGCCAUUUUUCAAGACAACUGACCUGCUCUCUUAAAGAGGAAAAACCGUCUGGGCAUGGUGGUUCACGCCUGUAAUCCCAGUACUUUGGGAGGCCGAGGCGGGUGGAUCACGAGGUCAGGAGAUGGAGACAAGCCUGGCUAACACAGUGAAACCCCAUCUCCACUAAAAAAAUACAAAGAAAUUAGCUGGGCGUGGUGGCAGGUGCCUGCAGUCCCAGCUACUGGGGAGGCUGAGGCAGGAGAAUCGUGAACCUGGGAGGCGGAGCUUGCAGUGAGCCGAGAUUGCGCCACUGCACUCUGGCCUGGGUGACACAGUGAGACUCCGUCUCAAAAAAAAAAAAAAAAAAAGAAAAACCAAAGUGGGGACUGUUCUAGAUAGAUGAAACAGAUAAUCAAAUACUAUGUGUGAAAACUCACUGGAUCAACAGAGGAAAUUUAAACACAGACUAGGUCUUCAGAUAUUAGGAAAUUACUGUUCUUUUUUUUCAAAGGUAUGUAAAUGUAUUGUGGUUAUGUAAAAGACCAUCCUUAUUUUUGUAAGAUGCAUGCUUAAGUAUUUAGAAAUGAAAUGUCAUGUCUGUAAGUUACUUUCCAAUGUUUGGUUUAAAGAAAUAUGGCAAAAUGUUAGUUUUUAAAUUUAGGUGGGUAUACAGUUAAUUUUAUGAUUUUUAAAACUUUCUGUAUAUUUGAAAACUCAUAAUAAAAAGUUCUGGAAAAUAAGGCUAUUUGCUAAAAACUGUUGAAUAAUUUGUGGGUCAGACAACUGUAAAAGUGGGAAAAAUUCACAAAGAUCUAGGGUUCUCCACUAUUACUAGUCUGUUAUUUUAUAAGGGCAUCAAUUGCCUCUGUUUAUCAGUGGAAGACUUUAUAAAUGCAUUAUUUACAUAAAACAUACAAAGGCAGGAAAUACAGAGUAAUGCAAAGG